rnacentral:rRNA from 1 species
GCAAGUUGAACGAGAAGUUUCUUCAUGAUUUUUUCGGAAGGAUUGAAGAGAUGGAAAGUAGCGAACGGGUGAGUAACGCGUGGGUAACCAACCUUAAACUGGGGGACAACAUCGGGAAACCGGUGCUAAUACCGCAUAUAUGCAGACAUGGCAUCUUGACUGCAGGAAAGGCUUCGGUCGGUUUAAGACGGACCCGCGUCCAAUUAGCUAGUUGGUGGUGUAAUGGACCACCAAGGCGACGAUUGGUAGCCGGGCUGAGAGGCUGAAC